UGAAGUAAGUAAGGGCGUACGGUGAAUGCCUUGGUGCCAACAGGCGAAGAAGGACGCGGCAAGCUGCGAAAAGCCUCGGGAAGCUGCAAGCAAGCGAUGAUCCGGGGAUAUCCGAAUGGGGUAACCUGAUCGAGGCAAUACUCGAUCGUUCAUACCUGAAUACAUAGGGUAUGAAACGCGAAACCCGCUGAAGUGAAACAUCUCAGUAAGCGGAGGAAAAGAAAGAGAAAUCGAUUCCGUAAGUAGUGGCGAGCGAAAGCGGAUGGAGCCCAAACCGAAGGUAUUCCUUCGGGGUUGUAGGACCACGUCAUAUUCGACCAUACUGGAUAGUAGAACAGCCUGGAAAGGCUGGCCGGAGAAGGUGAAAGCCCUGUAGACGAAAUCCAGAGUGGGAAUUAGUGGUAUCCUGAGUAAUACAUCACACGUGGAACGAUGUAUGAACCCGCGCGGACCACCGCGCAAGGCUAAAUACUAGUUGGCGACCGAUAGUGAACAAGUACCGCGAGGGAAAGGUGAAAAGAACCGCUGUGAGCGGAGUGAAAUAGAACCUGAAACCGUAUGUCUACAAAGUGUCAGAGCAGAGCAAUCUGCGAUGGCGUGCCUUUUGUUUAAUGAGUCUGCGAGUCAGUGUUUGUGGCAAGACUAAGGGCUUCCGGCCCGGAGUCGCAGCGAAAGCAAGUCCGAACAGGGCGCAAUAAGUCGCAGGUACUGGACCCGAAGCGGAGGUGAUCUACCCUUGGCCAGGUUGAAGCAUGGGUAAAACCAUGUGGAGGACCGAACAGGUGAACGUUGAAAAGUUCUCUGAUGAGCUGAGGGUAGGAGUGAAAGGCUAAUCAAACCCCGUGAUAGCUGGUUCUCUUCGAAAUGCAUUUAGGUGCAGCGUCACGUGCUGAUGCGCGGGGGUAGAGCACUGACAAGGCUAGGGGGCACACCCGCUUACCAAACCUUAUCAAACUCCGAAUACCGUGCAAUGGAACGUGGCAGUGAGACAGUGGGGGAUAAGCUUCAUUGUCGAGAGGGAAACAACCCAGACCAGCAGCUAAGGUGCCUAAAUAACGCUCAGUGGAAAGGAUGUGGGAUUACACAGACAGUGAGGAUGUUGGCUUAGAAGCAGCCACCAUUUAAAAAAUGCGUAAUAGCUUACUCAUCGAGUGAUCCUGCGCCGAAAAUGAUUGGCGAUCAAGCGUUAUACCGAAGCUCUGGACUUUGCCGCAAGGCAGAGUGGUAGAAGAGCGUUGCAUGCGCGUCGAAGGGCGAUGGCGACUGACCCUGGAGCACAUGCAAGUGAGUAUGCAGACAUGAGUAACGUUAAGCCGGGUGAAAUCCCCGGCCGCCGUAAACCCGAGGUUUCCAGGGCAACGUGUUUCGUCCCUGGGUUAGCCGGGACCUAAGCCGAGGCCGAGAGGCGUAGGCGAUGGACAUCAGGUUAAUAAUCCUGAGCUCGCAACCCUUAAACUGGGGGGACGCAUGAGAAAAGAUGACUAGGUUAUUGAAUUCCGAGUUGAGUCCACGGACUCAGCGCAUCAUUGGAUCGAGUGCCAAGAAAAGCCCCAGCGUAUGCUAAGCGACCCGUACCGCAAACCGACACAGGUGGGUGGGUAGAAUAUACCAAGGCGUAAGAGUGAAACCUGGUUAAGGAACUCGGCAAAUUAGCCCCGUAACUUCGGAAGAAGGGGUGCCUGCAGCGAUGCAGGCCGCAGAGAAAUGGCCCAACCGACUGUUUAUCAAAAACACAGCACUCUGCAAAGACGCAAGUCGAAGUAUAGGGUGUGACACGUGACCAAUGCCGAAAGAUUAAGGCAAGGGGUUAGCCGCAAGGCGAAGCUCUAAACCCAAGUCCCGGUGAAUGUCGGCCGUAACUAUAACGGUCCUAAGGUAGCGAAAUUCCUUGUCGGGUAAGUUCC
rnacentral:rRNA from 1 species